GGCGGCAUAACAAAGCGGUUAUGUAUCAGCCUUCAAAGCUGACUAGGCGGGUUCGAUUCCCGCUGCCGCCUCCA
rnacentral:tRNA from 1 species